AUCUAGCUUCUAAACUUUGUUUGGUCAUGGCAACUCAUCUGUCGUCAUUUUUCAUCAUCAAACAAAGUUUGGAAUUUAGA